GGCUUCCUGCAGCGCUGGACGGUCGGCUACGGCUACCGGCCGUGGCUGGCCAUCGCCUGGCUGACCGCGUUCUGGCUGGUGGGGUCGCUG
rnacentral:tRNA from 1 species